ACUCCUACGGGAGGCAGCAGUGGGGAAUAUUGCACAAUGGGCGCAAGCCUGAUGCAGCAACGCCGCGUGAGCGAUGAAGGCCUUCGGGUCGUAAAGCUCUGUCCUCAAGGAAGAAUAAAUGACGGUACUUGAGGAGGAAGCCCCGGCUAACUACGUGCCAGCAGCCGCGGUAAUACGUAGGGGCAAGCGUUAUCCGGAAUCACUGGGCGUAAAGGGUGCGUAGGCGGUUUUUCAAGUCAGAAGUGAAAGGCUAUGGCUCAACCAUAGUAAGCUUUUGAAACUGUUAAACUUGAGUGCAGGAGAGGAAAGUGGAAUUCCUAGUGUAGAGGUGAAAUUCGUAGAUAUUAGGAGGAACACCAGUGGCGAAGGCGACUUUCUGGACUGUAACUGACGCUGAGGCACGAAAGCGUGGGAGCGAACAGGAUUAGAUACCCGUGUAGACUGU
rnacentral:rRNA from 1 species